UGAGGAAUAUUGGACAAUGGGGGCAACCCUGAUCCAGCCAUGCCGCGUGAGUGAUGACGGCCUUAGGGUUGUAAAGCUCUUUCAGUAGUGAAGAUAAUGACGGUAACUACAGAAGAAGCCCCGGCUAACUUCGUGCCAGCAGCCGCGGUAAUACGAAGGGGGCUAGCGUUGUUCGGAAUCACUGGGCGUAAAGCGCACGUAGGCGGACUUUUAAGUCAGGGGUGAAAUCCCGAGGCUCAACCUCGGAACUGCCUUUGAUACUGGAAGUCUUGAGUUCGAGAGAGGUGAGUGGAAUACCGAGUGUAGAGGUGAAAUUCGUAGAUAUUCGGUGGAACACCAGUGGCGAAGGCGGCUCACUGGCUCGAUACUGACGCUGAGGUGCGAAAGCGUGGGGAGCAAACAGGAUUAGAUACCCCCGUAGUCC
rnacentral:rRNA from 1 species